rnacentral:rRNA from 1 species
GCCUGUACUGACGCUCAUGCACGAAAGCGUGGGGAGCAAAAGGAAAAGAUACCCUGGUAGUCCACGCCCUAAACGAUGUCUACUAGAUGUUGGUGGAGUAAAAUCCAUGAGUAACGCAGCUAACGCGUGAAGUAGACCGCCUGGGGAGUACGGUCGCAAUCCUUAGAACUCAAAGGAAUUGACGGGGGCCCGCACAAGCGGUGGAUUAUGUGGAUUAAUUCGAUGCAACGCGAAAAACCUUACCUGGCCUUGACAUGCCACUAACGAAGCAGAGAUGCAUUAGGUGCCCGUAAGGGAAAGUGGACACAGGUGCUGCAUGGCUGUCGUCAGCUCGUGUCGUGAGAUGUUGGGUUAAGUCCCGCAACGAGCGCAACCCUUGCCAUUAAUUGCCAUCAUUUAGUUGGGCACUUUAAUGGGACUGCCGGUGACAAACCGGAGGAAGGUGGGGAUGACGUCAAGUCCUCAUGGCCCUUAUGGCCAGGGCUUCACACGUAAUACAAUGGUCGGUACAGAGAGUUGCCAACCCGCGAGGGGGAGCUAAUCUCAGAAAGCCGAUCGUAGUCCGGAUUGUUCUCUGCAACUCGAGAGCAUGAAGUCGGAAUCGCUAGUAAUCGCGGAUCAGCAUGUCGCGGUGAAUACGUUCCCGGGGCCUUGUACACACCGCCCGUCACACCAUGGGAGUGGUUUUACCAGAAGUAGUUAGUCUACCGCAAGGGGGACGAUUACCACGGUAGUAUUCAUGACUGGGG